AGGAGCAACCAUAUCAGCACUAAUGCAUGGGAUUCCAUCCGAACUCCGAAGUUAAGCGUGCUUGAGCAAGAAUAGUUCUAAGAUGGACCUGUCUUAUGACUU
rnacentral:rRNA from 1 species